CGGACGGGUGAGUAAUGUCUGGGGAAACUGCCUGAUGGAGGGGGAUAACUACUGGAAACGGUAGCUAAUACCGCAUAACGUCGCAAGACCAAAGAGGGGGACCUUCGGGCCUCUUGCCAUCAGAUGUGCCCAGAUGGGAUUAGCUAGUAGGUGGGGUAACGGCUCACCUAGGCGACGAUCCCUAGCUGGUCUGAGAGGAUGACCAGCCACACUGGAACUGAGACACGGUCCAG
rnacentral:rRNA from 1 species